rnacentral:rRNA from 1 species
GAUGAACGCUGGCGGCGUGCCUAAUACAUGCAAGUCGAGCGAACAGACGAGGAGCUUGCUCCUCUGACGUUAGCGGCGGACGGGUGAGUAACACGUGGAUAACCUACCUAUAAGACUGGGAUAACUUCGGGAAACCGGAGCUAAUACCGGAUAAUAUAUUGAACCGCAUGGUUCAAUAGUGAAAGACGGUUUUGCUGUCACUUAUAGAUGGAUCCGCGCCGCAUUAGCUAGUUGGUAAGGUAACGGCUUACCAAGGCGACGAUGCGUAGCCGACCUGAGAGGGUGAUCGGCCACACUGGAACUGAGACACGGUCCAGACUCCUACGGGAGGCAGCAGUAGGGAAUAUUCCGCAAUGGGCGAAAGCCUGACGGAGCAACGCCGCGUGAGUGAUGAAGGUCUUCGGAUCGUAAAGCUCUGUUAUUAGGGAAGAACAAAUGUGUAAGUAACUAUGCCCGUCUUGACGGUACCUAAUCAGAAAGCCACGGCUAACUACGUG